ensembl:lncRNA
AGUCAGCAGCAGAAAGACUCAACAAACCGCCUCACCUACCAAUAAUUAAGUACUUUGGGACCAUUCGGAGCUUUUGUAAUGAUUGGCCACCUUACUUUGUCGUUUCUUGCCCGGCGCUUUACAGCUAUGUGGAUAUCGAGUUCAAAUUGCUCUCUUAGUGACUGAGCCCUCACGAUGAAACCCAUGGGGGACUGGGGUUCCGCUCUAACAGAUGCUUGGUAAACCGCUGCCUCUAUCUCCCCAUGAUCAUGCUCCAAAAUGAAAUCAAAUACAGGUGUCCUAAGGUAAGCUAUUCUUCAGUCCUCAUUCCAUGAGGUAAUCAGCAUUUUAGGGCAGCAAGCACAAGGUUUCAUCAAGUUAUUUGUUACUGUAUCCGAGUGGACACCAUGAAAAAACAUGAUGUUUUCACAGUAAUUCUGCUGCUAGUCAUUCUCAAUCGAUUUCCCAUCAAUACAGAUGCAGCGCAUCUGUAUUGAUGGGAUGACAUAUACUCCAAACCACAACUCAUCCAAUUGUGGAUGGCUGUUCUUAAAGCUCUUCCAUCGAUGUUUAGCCAACAGAAUGACCAAGGUGCUCCAGCAAGACUAUAACUGACGUUUCUAUAAAGUAGAUGAGAACAGGUUCCUCUGGCGGGGCAGCUGCUGGGCUAAUCCAGCAGUACUCCCGCCAUUCAACAUGAACAAUAAAGUAAACAAAAUCCAAUUUGGAUUUAAGGCUGUGUGUAUUCAGGAGAACAGUGAACGACGUUCAAAAGCAGGAAUCAGGCAUUAAAUGUGCCAUAAAACCCACCAUAAUGGGCACCUGGUUGUUAGAAUACAUCCCUGUCCUCUGAGAGCCAACAAGGCUGUAGAUCUCCCGGGUGAGUGGUGGUUUACAUCAGGCCCCCACAGACCCAGGCCGUAUUGAUCCCAGGUCGAUCGAGCGGCUCCCAGAGACAGCCCAAGUGGCCGGGGACAGGAGGGAUGUAUCUAUGGGGACGGUAUCAGGCAGCGGGAGAAUGGGUCUGCAACCCAAACCAUGAUGGCAACCAUCUUCAUCAGAUGGUCCAGGCUGGUCAACAACAGUAAAAGAUUUACCCUUAAGGCGGAGACUGGUGGUGGCUAUUAGGACGGGUUUUAACCCGAGCUAACGGGUUAGUGGUUAUGGUAUUGAAACAGGAUGAUGGAACUGUAAUGUAACGCUGCGCUGUCGUCUUAUCUUGAGUAAUGGGAGAGAGGUCACGUAGGAUGCUUUAGACACGAUGAGACAAACCGGGCUGGACAUUCAAAACAAAUGUGGGAUUGGAAGGAAUAGAUUUUUCAGUCUAGUUUAGAGUCUAGUCUAGUAUGCUCCAAAUAAUCCAGUUAUCAACUAAUGAUGGAAUUGAUAUCAAAUUGUAUCAUUAUAUUAUCUUUCAUAAUCAUCAUCAUUCAUACUUUUUUUGGUUUGUUGCAACAGCCCAGCAGCAGUGGAAAAACACAAGAUAAAAAUACAAUACAAUACGAUAAAAAUACAAAGCACUAAUGCAAACCAAACAUUUAUGGUGAGGUAAUGCUAAACUAAAUGCUAAAGUAAAGACAAAACAAGACAAACGGAACCAACAGCGCAAACAGAACAGAAGUUAAUGUUUUAUUAUUAUUUGAUAAACAAAUAUAUUCUAUUUUUAAGAAUUGUCAUUUGCAUAUCAUUUAAAUAAAACUGGCUUUAUUGAAAAUCGAUACAAAAACGAGUUUAGAUUUAGAUUAAUUUAAUGUAUAUAUAAACGCAUUAAUCGAGCAUGCAAUAUUUAGGAUAGUUAAAUAU